GCUUGUCUCAAAGAUUAAGCCAUGCAUGUCUAAGUAUAAGCAACUAUACUGUGAAACUGCGAAUGGCUCAUUAAAUCAGUUAUCGUUUAUUUGAUAGUACCUUACUACAUGGAUAACCGUGGUAAUUCUAGAGCUAAUACAUGCUAAAAACCCCGACUUACGAAGGGGUGUACUUAUUAGAUAAAAAGCCAAUGCCCUUCGGGGCUCUGUGGUGAUUCAUAAUAAUUCAACGAAUCGCAUGGCCUUGCGCCGGCGAUGGUUCAUUCAAAUUUCUGCCCUAUCAUAGUUUUGACUGGAACGUAGUGGGCUCCAGUGCUUUCGACGGGUAACGGGGAAUUAGGGUUCUAUUCCGGAGAGGGAGCCUGAGAAACGGCUACCACAUCCAAGGAAGGCAGCAGG
rnacentral:rRNA from 1 species